CCUGACGCUUACAAGUCACCAACUUAUUCUUACUUACAGUUACUCCAUGUAUGCAAGUAAAAAACAGAUCUGCCCAUCAAUCAAAGGGGAUUUCUGAGCCAUUGUUGACCUGAGACCAGGGUGUUUCAACCUCCACUUUGGAGAGAAUGUUCACAUGUUCAGUUCCAGGCCUUAGCUAAAAGGCAAGAAAUGCAGACUGCUCUACUCAGGAGAGAACUCACGUAUUCAAAGAGGACAGCUGGAGGCACACGCCAAAUUCAAAGUGGGACCCUCUUGUUGACUUUCUGAGUUGUUAUUGAGAGUUUCAACCACAACCUGACUGUCACUGGAGAGGAGAAGAUGAGAAAAGGAUUUAAUAAAGGUAGCAUGGGAAGAAGGAGGGAGAAGAGGAGUGGAAAGAUAAGGAGGAGAGAAAAACAUGCUAUUGAUAACCAGUGUUGUGGCUGGAUCAGCCCUUGUGGUUCUUAAUAUGAUUGCAAGAUGCCCUUAGCAAU
rnacentral:lncRNA from 1 species